CAAGGUUCGCCAAUGUGAACCGAUAUGUAUAUAUAUAUAUAUAUAUAUACGAUAUAUAUAUAUAUAUAUAUAUGUACCGUUGAUCGCUAUAAAAUAUAUAAUAUGACUUAAUAUCGGUCAACCAUCAAGCUGGUUCAUAAUUGCGCAAGAAAUUGUUAAUAGACGACAAAUGACGAACUGAACGAUUCGUUUGCUUUUAUUUACGCUCUAAGAGAUUUUCCCUUUUUUUAAAUAUUAUUUAUUUCCUUCAGAUAAUAAUAGUUAUAUUCGGACUUUAAACGAGUACUUAUACGCGGGUGAGAAUCUUGAGAUGAUUAUCGUCAAUGAACGCGAGCGCACGUUGAUAGGAAUUUCCCAGAAAUACAUAUUGAGCGCGUCAUGGUCAAAUCGCGGGACAGAUAUAAACACGUAAUUCGUUUCGUGUUUCAGUCAUUGAUAUCAUGUGCUUGAAGACGUGUUGGUUCGCGUUAUUUCUAUGAAUCUUGAACACCUUUGUAAAAGGAUAUUUCGCAACGUGAAACGUUUUUUCUUCGAAAUAUAUCAACGCAUCGAUCAUGAAAAAUAUGGACGUCAUUAAUUGAGGCACACGCUCUAACAAAGAACGAAAGCUACGUUCAUUAACCUUUUGUUAGUCAUGAGGAGAGGUAAAGAAAAAAAUACACAAAAAAAGAAAAAGAAAAAAAAAAAAAAAAAAAAAUAGGCGAUAUUAAUAAUUAACUCUCGCCAUGAAUAUACACUGUGCAACGUUUUCAAACGAGAAAACAGGAUAUGAACGUUGGUAUACGAGCGAUCGAGUGACUGCUAUGCCCGUUACAAAUGCAAAUUCGUAAGUGCGACCGAUAAGAAUCAAUUACAUUCUAUCUUAGUAAAUUAUAAUUAAACAUUCAACAUUAUUAUUUACACGAUCUUUGGUUGCUAUUUCAAUCGCCACAUUGCAACAUACAGUAUGCAAAUUGAUUAUCCAAAUUUGAUGACUUGGUAUGACUUUUGAUAUCUUUACGAUAACAUACGAUAAUUUCUUUUAUCAAUGACCAAUCGACAGUCGAAUUUUAUAUCGAAUGGUCACAUGAAAGGCGGAUAGUAUGAUAUAAUAUUAUAUAAUGCAAUUUUUAUUUACAUAAACAUGUUACGUAAAUUAGAUGCACUUUUAAAGAACUUUGAAAGCAAAUAAUCAUCGUCGACAUUGAUACCGAAGGAAAAUCAAACGGUUUUAGUCGCAAUUUUCAAGAAAUUUCGUGAUAAUUUCAUUCCUUUUUUUUCUUUUUUUUUUUUUUUUUUUUGGACAUAUAUAAUUUCAAUUAUCCUAUACAAAUUACGAGCCCGAAAAAUAGAUUAGAAAGGGAAAAUAUUUAUGAACGAUUAGAAUUAAGUUACGAGUGAAAGAAAGAGAGAAAGAGAAGGAGUGAAAGAGAGAAAAAAAAAAUAAAUAAAAUCGAUUUUGAAGAUAUACAAAGAUAUUUAUACAUUAUCUAUAUAUUACACACACACACAUACAUAUAUAUAUAUAUAUACAUAUAUAUAUAUAUAUAUAUAUAUUAUGUACCGAUUUGACGAUAAAGAAGAACUUCGUUGUGUGUGGCGAGUACCCUAUCAAUCAGUUGAACAAAUUGAGUUACAUGUGGGUCGAUGGCAUAUCGGACACGUGAUGCGCCUUCGUACGUAUAACGCGAUCAAAUGAGCCUGCGUUUGCUCACGUACACGUACUUACGUAUACAUAUUGUGUUUCCCGCUUCGUAACCAGACGAUCGUUGGACGCCAUUCAUAUUUUUCUUGGCUUUCGGUCAUAUGUCAGGGUCGAUAGGUGAUCAUAUGUGCAUAUAUAUUUGUACAUAUAUAUAUAUAUAUAUAUAGAUAUAUAUAUAUACACUGUAAUCUAAAGAUGGAAAUUAGGAUGACGUUGCAUUUUUCUUUAAGAUUUAUUUAUUAAUCGAAUAUAUAUGCUCGUAAGCGAGUGCGUUCACGAAAACACGAAAUAAGAAAUAGAAUGAACGCGAAAAUAAGGCGUGAGCUUUCAUUGACUCUGAUCGUCGUUCUUGAUCGAUGAUAAAAAAAAAAAAGGGGGGGGGGAGCAAAGGAACGAAAAGAGGAAGAUAGAAAAAAUAAAUAUACGGAAAAGUAAAGAGACAUUUAAAACGAACGAGAGACAUUCUUCGAUCGAUCUGAAAUUACCUACUUGGUAUGUACAUGAUAACUCCCAUGGUCGCCAUUCAAGCCCUUCCUCUCAAGAUUUCUUUAUUUCUUCCAAUCGAUCGAUAGAAUCCAAUAACUUCUCCUUUUCUCUUUUUCUUUCGUUACAUUAAUCUUUCUCAAUCGCAACGACUCUUCUUCGUCGUUAAAUCUUCAAGAUUUUGAUGAUAUUAUAAAUACUGUAGUGCCUGUAGUAAUGCAUAUUUAAUAAGAGCAUAGAAGUGAAAGAAUAAGGAGAAGAAGUUCGAAGAAACGAACGAAGACACGCUCGAGAUAUCUUUUUUCCUUGAUGAACAUCGAGCUUAUAAUGUUUAACACCUUCGCUCGACUAAAUGUUCCUUUCUCUCUUUCACAAUAACCUUCUUCUCGUGCUUAUUAUAGACGACGAACACACUAUCAUAAUGUGUAUUAAUUUAAUCGUAGAAACGACCAAACGAAAUCGUUUCGAUUAAUUUCGUUUACAUUGAACACCAAAUAACCAGAGACGUAUUAUCACAUAACUUCGAACUUCAUUAAUUAUAUCAAUUCAUUAACUAUAUAAAUCGAUGAAGAUUUUCACGAAGAAGAAUUGAAACUUUAAUAUCAAAGAGUCAUCUCAGUUUCUUCUUAAAGUCAUCCACAAGAUACGAUUACGAGAAACACUUCUUUAUAACUGACACUCCCGUUCUUUGUCACGACACACAUACAUGUACGAGUUACGCUGACAGCAGAUAACGUGUUAGAACUUCACAGAAAUACAAAACAUCGCGAUGAUACUCGAGAGAAAAUAUAGAAACGAUUUCUCGAAUAAUACUCGUACGUUUUAAUUUUUCUUUCUAAAUUUUCCAUUUUACUUCACUAAUUUUAAUCACACUUUAACUCUACUUCUCUCUCUCUCUCUCUCUCACUCUCUCACUCUUUCUUUCUCUCUUUGUCUCUCUUGAAAGAAAAAAACGGAUAAAAAAAAAAAAAAAAAAAAAAAAAAAAAAAAAAAAAAAAAAAAAGAAAAGAAAGAAAGAAAAGCAAGAUCGUAAAAUAGUUUUCACUUUGUUAAAAACUUAUUGAGAAAGCUCUUGGUUCCAUACGUAUGAUCGUGAAGAACGCGUAAACAUAACUAUUUAAAUAUCUGCUCGUAUCCGCAAGUCUGACCCGACACGGGGCGUCACCACUCGCAUGGCGAGAGGCUCGAAAGACCGAGGAGGCUUCGGCUUUUCUCCUCGGCAUUGGACGAUAGUCGAAGAACGGUGGGAGAGACGAUGACGGGAUCGUCGUAUGUCUUCUGCACGAGCGGAGAAACAAACGUGCCGAAAAACCAUUGACUUUGCGUUAAAUAACAAUAUCGUUCAUAAAACGUCUAUGUACGUAUAUAUUAUACGUUUCAAACACGAAAUCAAACGGGUUUUCUUUUUCUCCUCCCUCUCAAACGGCGCCUCCCCCUCUCUCUCUCCCCACCCACUUCCCACCUUUGAGUUUUUACGAUAUCAAAGAAGUUUCAUUUAAUGCAUAUGUUUUUCUAUGAAAAUAUAACGAUAAUAUCGUGCACGAUAAUAUCGAUCAUAUUGAAAUAAUUGUUCUUUAAUAAUUGGCGACCACACGAUAAUAUUAUUUUCAGUUAAAAAGUAUCGCGACAUCGUAUUAUAUAGAUCUCAAGAAAGAAUAAAUAAACUUUACGAAGGCGUUUAACGACGGUCUCGUCGAAGAAUUUAAUCAAUUAAUAGACGCGUAACGUUAGAAUGUAACGUGAGAGUUCUUGUAAUGCAAUCAUACGGCCUACGAACAUAAAGAAACGUAAGCACAUAAGUAUGUAGAUACGUACGCGGUAGUCAUUCCUACUUUCACCGUCGACCGUGGGUGGGUGGGUACACUUGGUGAAUAUCUAACUACGCAACUAAUAAUUAUUAUCGUUCGCAUCUGUCCGUAAGAUUGAAAUCGAUAUAUGACCUAACCCUUUUAUUCUUCUUGUCGACAGAUUAUUUAAAACAAAAAAAAAAAAAAAAAAAAAAAAGAAAAGAGAAAAAAAAAAGAAGAAGAAACAAAAAAAGAAAAAAGAAAAUUCAAAGACAAACAUGCAUACAAAUCGCAGAAUGCCAUAUACCAAUGGAUAUGCAUGAGAGAAGCAUAACACGUCACGCGUUCGUACAUACAUAAAUCGGUAUAACGAUUUUAUGCACCGUUUAUUUACGCUUCUACGCGUCACGCAUACUAAUCGCGACUUAGACUAUCUAUAGGAUUAUCGUUUUUUCUUGAUUGCCGCUUUAAAAUUCGAUCAUUAUCGUCGUUAAAUAAUAAACACGUUGCUACUUCGCAACAAUGUGAUACAUUACUUCAUUCUAAUUAGAUAUCUACCUUUUUUUAAUUCUUUAUUUGAUUUAAAUACACAUAUGUAUUAUAUCCAUUAAAAUUAUGAGAAAUUCAUUUCACUUUAUUUAUUUUCGAAGGAAUAAUAUGUAGAUGCAAUUUUUAUUCUCGAUACAGCUCCGCUGUGAUCUCAUCCUCGUGAUGAUUUCUAAACUCGAAAUUCCAAGGAUAAGCGCAACGAUCUUGUACGCUCGAGCGAUCGUGCGAACACGAUUUAAUAAAAGAAAAAGAAAAAAGACAAAAAAAAGAAAAUAAAAAACGAUUGGACUUCCUCUUAUCGUCACAUUUUCUGGACGAGACACGAAAAUUCGCAUUUAUUCUAUUUCGUUCACGAAACGAUGAUCCUCUCGAUCUCGUUGAUACGAUAAAAAGGAAAAAAAAAAAAAAAAAUAAACGUUGUUUUGGGACGAAACUCGGAUAUACGUUCACAUUAUUUUGCAAGAUAUUACAAAAAUUGAUUUAUAAUGGUCAUUCGUAAAUGCGAUUAUUACGAUUAAUCGAGUUUGUUAAUUGGCUUGAGAAUGCAAUCGUAAAGUGAUGUUAGAAAAAAACAAAAAAGAAAAGAAAAGAAAAGAAAAGAAAAGAAAAGAAA